rnacentral:rRNA from 1 species
GACGAACGCUGGCGGCGUGCUUAACACAUGCAAGUCGACGGGAAGGGCCCUGCUUUUUGGGGGGCUCCGAGGGGCAACGGGGUGGGAACCCGGGAAUUACCCGCCCUUGGCUUUGGGAUAACCUCAGGAAACCUGGGCCUAUUCCGGACUAGGAGUCCUGGUGGAUGGGGGGGGGUGGGAAAUUUCGGCGGUUGGGGAUGGACUCGCGGCUUAUCCACUUGUUGGGGGGGGAGUGGCUUACCAAGGCUUUGACGGGUAGCCGGCCCGAGAGGGUGACCGGCCACAUUGGGACUGAGAUACGGCCCAGACUCCUACGGGAGGCAGCAGUGGGGAAUAUUGCACAAUGGGCGGAAGCCUGAUGCAGCAACGCCGCGUGCGGGAUGACGGCCUUCGGGUUGUAAACCGCUUUCGCCUGUGACGAAGCGUGAGUGACGGUAAUGGGUAAAGAAGCACCGGCUAACUACGUG